CGCGCCACCCCUCCGCUCCCCGUCGCUAGCUCGCCCCGCGGCCGCAUGAAAGCCGCCCUGUGAUUGGACGAAGUGCGGAGGUGAAAGGUUAAUCCCGGCCCCCCAGCCACUCAGGAGCUAGGAAACAGCGGGCUCGAGCUGAGGCGGUGUCUGCGGCCCAACGCGAAGACCGAGCUGGAUAACGCAGUCAGCCGGGCGCUGGGAAUUCUGGCCGCGCUGCCGCCGCGGGCCACGCAAUCUGGGCUUGGUCUAGAGGAGUCUCCCAGCUUUGGGGACUCUCCCUUCUUGAUGGUGGCAUCUUCACGAACCCAUCGCCCCCAAUCGCAAUCCCCUCUGCAGGGCCCUUUGGGUCCUCAGACCUGGGCCCGUGGGCAGCCCUCGAGGCCAACUUGAACAAGCAGAAAAUGCCCGCGGUGUGCAGAGACUUGGGUUUAUAGGUUUGAGCCGCGCCUCCUUCCUCAGAGUGAAGAGGAAAACCUUCUUAGUGUAGGAUCCUCCCCCGCCUUCCAUGUAUACCUCUCUUCCUGGAGAUCUCCCUUUCCUCCCUCCCCACCCCCACCCCCAGCCCGACCGCUGUACCCCCGGUGAGGGAUGGGUGGAAUGAUUCUAGCACCCGGCUUCUCUCUGCCCCUGGGAGCACUUAAUGGCAGCUGUCCCUCUGCACUGUCCCACGUGGUGGCUGUUAGCUCUCUGAAUUAAGAUGGAGUCUCUCGGGACCAGCUCAAAGCCCUCAAGAUGGCGCAGCAGAAACACAGCUGCAGAAGAGAGUCCUCGCACCAGGCCACUCAGCUCUCACACUGAUCGCCUCUGGAAAGACCCUCACCAACAAUUCAGCCAAUCGGAAUGUGCCAGUUUCUUCCCAUGAUUUAGCCUUCUAAUCCUCACAUACAUCCUCCCUUUUCAACAGGAAUUCCAGGUUUUAGAACAUCAAUGUUUGGGACUAAUCUUCCAGAACUGUGAAUUGGGGACUACUGGUCGUUGAACCCAGGGCCUCAUGCGUGCUAGGGCAAGUGCUCUCUAUAUACCCUGCUCAGUUUGGGGGUUUUAGAGUUGACCCAUAAUAAUCUUUGGGCUUUUCAGUAUUCAGGAUUUGAGAUGCAUGGUUCAGGAUUAUGAUCAGCAGCAAUGAAAAAUAAACUGUAAAGAAGUCUGUGCCCUGCAGACAUUUUCA